rnacentral:rRNA from 1 species
GACAGAGGAGCCAAGCGUUGUCCGGAUUGACUGGGCGUAAAGCGCACGCAGGCGGACGCGCGCGUGGGGUGUGAAAUCUGGCCGCUUAACGGCCAGGCGCCAUCCCAUACGGCGCGUCUGGAGUGAUGCAGAGGUCGAUGGAAUUGCCGGUGUAGUGGUGAAAUGCGUAGAGAUCGGCAGGAACACCCAGGGGGAAACCAGCCGACUGGGCAUCUACUGACGCUGAUGUGCGAGAGCGUGGGGAGCGAACCGG